UGGCGGCGUGCCUAACACAUGCAAGUCGAGCGAGGAGAUUCCUUCGGGAUGAUCCUAGCGGCGACGGGUGAGUAACACGUGGGCAACCUGCCUCAUAGAGAGGAAUAGCCUUCCGAAAGGGAGAUUAAUACCUCAUAACAUUGCAGUUUCGCAUGGAACAGCAAUUAAAGGAGUAAUCCGCUAUGAGAUGGGCCCGCGGCGCAUUAGCUAGUUGGUGAGGUAACGGCUCACCAAGGCGACGAUGCGUAGCCGACCUGAGAGGGUGAUCGGCCACAUUGGGACUGAGACACGGCCCAGACUCCUACGGGAGGCAGCAGUGGGGAAUAUUGCACAAUGGGGGAAACCCUGAUGCCAGCAACGCCGCGUGAGUGAUGACGGCCUUCGGGUUGUAAAGCUCUGUCUUCAGGGACGAUAAUGACGGUACCUGAGGAGGAAGCCACGGCUAACUACGUGCCAGCCGCCGC
rnacentral:rRNA from 1 species